ACUUUAUGUAAUGUUCCAAAGAAAUGGCACAACACCAUGGCUCAUUUUAACCAAGAUUCAGUGUGAGCCUUCACAAACUCUUCCUUGUGUCCUAAGCCUGCUGGAGGACUGCCCGACUCCACAUACUCCCUGCGUACCUUGCUUGCAACUAAC
rnacentral:lncRNA from 1 species